AGCGGCGGACGGGUGAGUAACGCGUGGGUAACCUGCCCUGUACACACGGAUAACAUACCGAAAGGUAUGCUAAUACGAGAUAAUAUACUUUUAUCGCAUGGUAGAAGUAUCAAAGCUCUGGCGGUACAGGAUGGACCCGCGUCUGAUUAGCUAGUUGGUAAGGUAACGGCUUACCAAGGCGACGACCAGUAGCCGACCUGAGAGGGUGAUCGGCCACAUUGGAACUGAGACACGGUCCAAACUCCUACGGGAGGCAGCAGUGGGGAAUAUUGCACAAUGGGCGAAAGCCUGAUGCAGCAACGCCGCGUGAGCGAUGAAGGCCUUCGGGUCGUAAAGCUCUGUCCUCAAGGAAGAUAAUGACGGUACUUAAGGAGGAAGCCCCGGCUAACUACGUGCCAGCAGCCGCGGUAAUACGUAGGGGGCUAGCGUUAUCCGGAAUUACUGGGCGUAAAGGGUGCGUAGGUGGUUUCUUAAGUCAGAGGUGAAAGGCUACGGCUCAGCCGUAGUAAGCCUUUGAAACUGGGAAACUUGAGUGCAGGAGAGGAGAGUGGAAUUCCUAGUGUAGCGGUGAAAUGCGUAGAUAUUAGGAGGAACACCAGUUGCGAAGGCGGCUCUCUGGACUGUAACUGACACUGAGGCACGAAAGCGUGGGGAGCAAACAGGAUUAGAUACCCUGGUAGUCCACGCCGUAAACGAUGAGUACUAGCUGU
rnacentral:rRNA from 1 species